rnacentral:rRNA from 1 species
CUACGGGGGGCAGCAGUGGGGAAUAUUGCACAAUGGAGGAAACUCUGAUGCAGCAACGCCGCGUGGAGGAUGACACUUUUCGGAGCGUAAACUCCUUUUAUAUAGGAAGAAGAUGACGGUACUAUAUGAAUAAGCGCCGGCUAACUCCGUGCCAGCAGCCGCGGUAAUACGGAGGGCGCAAGCGUUACUCGGAAUCACUGGGCGUAAAGAGCGUGUAGGCGGAUUAAAAAGUCAGAAGUGAAAUCCUAUAGCUUAACUAUAGAACUGCUUCUGAAACUCUUAAUCUAGAAUAUGGGAGAGGUAGAUGGAAUUUCUGGUGUAGGGGUAAAAUCCGUAGAGAUCACAAGGAAUACCGAUUGCGAAGGCGAUCUACUAGAACAUUAUUGACGCUAAGACGCGAAAGCGUGGGGAGCAAACAGGAUUAGAUACCCUCGUAGUC